rnacentral:lncRNA from 1 species
AGAAAUAAGCCCAAUUUAAGUUUACAACAAAAAAUAAAUGAAAUGGUCCAAAACUUUAUCUAUUUUCCCCUAUUUAGUCCCAUCACAGAUAAAAACAAUCUCUCCAAUAUCUUUGCUAGUAAAAAAGCAUUAAAACAUCAGCUAAUUAUGGCCCAAUCCAAUUUUUAUUCUUAUUCUUUGGUCUAUCAUACUCUAACUAUGGUCUCUCUCUCUUAGACCUUUAAUCUAACACUUUGCAGACACCUGUACUUUUACUCUCAUCUCUCUUAAAUCUUUACUCUAUCUCUUGUAGAACGUGAAAUCAAACCCCACGCCUGAAAAACUAAAUAUCCCCUCUCCAUCCAAUUUCCUUGUCACUGGCCGCAAAUCUAGUGGGCAAGAUGUCAAUAAUAAGGUCAUACAACAUAUC